AAAGAGGCUUGACAUCGAAACGCAAUUAUGUUUGUUGUCGUACAUUUUUUUUAAUCUUUGCUGAAUCAUUUACUUUUUAAUAUUCCAUAUGGAUUUUGCAGCCCUGACACUGUCUGCGUUUAACACCGUGCAAAUUACCAAAUGGGUUCAGGCUUGUCAGAUGGUGAGGGCUUCUGUCGACAUCAUCUGAGGUGAGAGUUCACAGGCGAGAGCUGAACCCUUGGCCCUAUGGAAUUAUUAAAUUAUAUAAAUUAGGUUCAUAUUCUUGACCUGUAAUAAAGGAAGAACAAAGUAUGUGCGUUCUGAUGUUUGAAGGGCCAUUUUAAGUCUGCUGACUCCAUCAUAUGCGUUAUCAGUGUUUCCUACUCAACCCGUGACCUUGAGCCGAGAUAGGAACUAAAACCACGGCACCGGAAGCAGUGGAGGCAAAGACAGCGAUGAAAAAAAGCAGAUGGCUGGACGGGGACCAGGCGCGGAGCCGUCACGUGACGGGCGGCGUGCCAUGGAACUUCCUGCUCGCUCUCCCUCUCUGUCGCAGCAGUUGGUGUCACUACUCACGCCGUCUGCGUGAAUUCAAGGCCCCAGCUGAACAGAUUGGCCAGUCGGCGAGGAUCAUUCGCAGAAAACUCUACUAAUCUCCCACCGGCUGCCUCGACCACGCUCACAUACACUGUCUCUCUUUCUUUCUUCUCUCUGUGCAGACUUCUCCCGAAAAACUGUGUCGAGGGAGGGCAGAGGAUUUAGAAAACAUGUCAUCUUGAGCUCCGUUCCAAAUCGUGAUAUGCACCAUUGUGAUAAAAAGAGAUACCUACUCUAACAAAAUGAUAAGCCCGGAGCGCUGGUUCAAUCCCUCCACGGCCGUGAUGGGUCACGACACGCUUCCUCCUGGAAACCCAUGAGCUGAACCUCUAGAACCAGAAGUAGACCAGCACUCUAAGAACCAAGCGUUCUGUUCGGAAGAUGUUGUGGAUCUUGAUUAAUUCACAGAGCUACAGUAUGUGAGUGAGGAGAGGGAUUUUCUAUUCUGUUCUAGAGCCAAUGAAGAGAAGCAAACAUGGGAGAAAUAUGAUCUCUGGUUUAACUUCCAGCCACUCUCAAUUAACAGUGUGCUUUUAGACUAAAUGUCUGUUUCACUGCGGCAAACUGGGAUUGUCUCACUGCGUCUCAUGCUGCUGUGUACCAAUAUAUGAUCUGGGACUUGUGUGACACCUCUGACACAGGCCUGCAACUGGACAAAAGCUGAAAUGACCUAAAUCCUCAGUGAAUUAAUAUGAAAACCAUCUGAUAAGUGUCUACUGACACUCUCUGCUGCUGCCUCGGUGCUGACACACAGACGUUGGAUGAACUUGUUUCUACACCGACGUAAAGUACCUCACACAGGUACUGACGAUGCAGCGGCGUGAACAUGGCUACAGAAAAGGAAGUGGACGAGAAGAAGAAGCUGAAGAAAAGAUGUCUUAAGUUACUCAAACUGUCAAAUUUUCUUUCUUUAUGAUUUUGUGAAAAAGCUAAAUCAGAUAAUUUUCACUGAAAAUAUUGUAAGUUCUGUUUAGCUCAAAGCAAACCUUAAUGCUUUUCUAUAUCUUUCUCACAGAUACUGUAUCACUUCCUGUAUGUGUCAUAUGAUAUACUGAUAGUUGUAAAGCUACAUGUAAUACAGGAUAUAACCUUUGAGUUUGGGUUCAGUAGUUUUUCUAGAAUAGCAGUUGUUUACAUUCCACACAUGUCAUAGAUGACAAAACGAGGCAAUGAGGAAAAAUGCAAACAAAUG